rnacentral:rRNA from 1 species
UACGAAGGGGGCUAGCGUUGUUCGGAAUCACUGGGCGUAAAGCGUAUGCAGGCGGAUCGUUAAGUCGGGGGUGAAAUGCCGAGGCUCAACCUCGGAACUGCCUUCGAUACUGGCGAUCUUCGAGUCCGGGAGAGGUGAGUGGAACUGCGAGUGUAGAGGUGAAAUUCGUAGAUAUUCGCAAGAACACCAGUGGCGAAGGCGGCUCACUGGCCCGGUACUGACGCUGAGGUGCGAAAGCGUGGGGAGCAAACAGG